rnacentral:lncRNA from 1 species
AAUGACCCAAAAGCAGUUAGCUGAGUUAACUCAGCAGAUAACAAAUAUCAGAUACAUCUCCCUUACUAUUUGCCUCAUGAAGUCAAACUCCACCUCACUAUCUUGUUACCCAGCUCAAGAAUUCUGAGCCCCACACCAUGGAGCAGUGACCUGCCUGGAAGACCCACAGGCGGCAACAACUACAGGUGGAAGGAGUUUUGCAUGAUCUCAUCAGAAGGCGGGAGCUGGAGGAGAAGGUUCUGUGAUAUGCUGCUUCUGCUUGCCUGUACACUGAAGGGGAAUUUGGGAGGCAGAACCAGGCCCAAUUCUUUGUGUUGUCUGCAAGCUUGCUGGCCUUCCUACUGGAGCUACACCACUGGCCGCCCUGGUGCUCAGGUCUUCAGACUCAGACUGGAACCAUGACAUCCACUGUCCUGCGUCUCCAGCUGCUGGCACACCCUGCAGACCUUGCGACCUCACAACCUCCCUAAUUAUGUGAGUUAUUUUUUUGUAAUAAAUCCCUUUAUAUAAAUAGGUAAGUCUGUAGUGAACAAUAGCAGACUUUGCCACUUCAAAUAGAGAAAUGGCCUUUUGAUGACAGUGACAAUGUCAUGUGGGUGGUGAUACCUUGCUAGGCUGGGGCAAAGUUCUCUAGGAAGCUGUCUGUGCUCUGAAUCAGCCUCCGACAGAUGGAACCACAUCUCCCAUAGCCAGAAUUCCUGAGUGUAGAAAUCAAGGGGCAGAAAUGAGAGUGGCACCACUCCCUGUUACACCUAGUGACACACUAGCAUGAGUCUUGCUUCCUGUUUCUGUGACCUUCUGCUCUGCUGGCCUGGAGGUCUAGAGGGAGGAAUGCUUCCACCAGGAAACAACAAUGAUUCCACCAAACCGGAAGUUAAGAUGCCACGUGGCUGCUUUGGCCUCCUUUAUACCUCUGAAUAAACAGGCAAGAGGAGGAGUUGCUGAGCUGGCUCAGGUGAUUCAUCCUGGCUACUUAGCAGAUAGUGGACCAUGAGUCCACAAAGGAGGUUAUGAAAGGCAUGUCUGUAAUAAAAGAUUUCUUGGGUAUCUCUUACGAUUAAUCUCUAUGUUUAAGGCCAAUAGCAAACUACAAUUCAAUCCAGGAAGAACUACUGAAAACCUAGAUCUUUUAGGAACAAAAAUUUGGGUCGCCCCAUCAGGUAAAGAGCUAUGGCCAGCUGAGGUGCUUGCUAAAGGCAAAGGGAAUAUAGAAUGGGGAGUGGAAGAAGGUGAUUAUAAAUACUUGCUAUGACCACAUGACCUGUUAUGGAACUGAGGACUAAGUUUCCAUGAUUAUUUCACCUCUGCGUGUGUAUGUGUAUAUACAUAUACACAUAUAUGUGUAUAUACGUACGUGUAUUCACAUACAUUUAUAUGUCUAUAUGCACAUACACACACAAAUCUUUGUUUUGUUCCCUCUCUCACCUCCUGAUUAUGUAACGUAAGAUGUAUUGACUUCAUAUCAUAGUAUUUAAGUUACAAGAUAGCAAGAAGAGUAAACGCCACUCAAGAACGUUUCGGCCUCUUCUGGGGAAGCGUGAAUACAUUGUUGGUUGCACACAGGACAGUUGCAUCAUGUUAGCUGGAAGUAUGACUUUGCUACUGUGUUUACUUUUAG